CGACCCUUGACCCCCACUUCCAGUGUGGAGGCCAUCUCGGAUUGACCCUGAAGUGCCCCCAAUGAACCCAGAAUGAACCGGAAGUGCCCCAAAUCAAACCGGAAUGACCCCAAAUAAACCGGAAGUGACCUCAGCUAAACCGGAAGUGCCCUAAAUAAACCGUAAGUGACCUUAUUUCAAAGAGAAGUGCCCUAAAUGAAACCAGAAGUGACCUAAAUUUAACAUUUGCUCUAACUUUUGCAAUUUUUGUCCGAUUCAACCCGUUUCAACUUUUGAACUCCAAAGUGAACCUCUUGAAC